GGAGAGGUGUCCGAGUUGGCCUAAGGGGCGCGAUUGGAAAUCGCGUGUCCCCUGAGAAGGGGACCGUGGGUUCGAAUCCCACCCUCUCCGCCA
rnacentral:tRNA from 1 species